rnacentral:rRNA from 1 species
GACUCUCGGCAACGGAUAUCUCGGCUCUCGCAUCGAUGAAGAACGUAGCGAAAUGCGAUACUUGGUGUGAAUUGCAGAAUCCCGUGAACCAUCGAGUCUUUGAACGCAAGUUGCGCCCGAAGCCAUUAGGCCGAGGGCACGCCUGCCUGGGUGUCGCACAUCGUUGCC